AUUGAACGCUGGCGGCAUGCCUUACACAUGCAAGUCGAACGGCAGCACGGGAGCAAUCCUGGUGGCGAGUGGCGAACGGGUGAGUAAUAUAUCGGAACGUGCCCAGUCGUGGGGGAUAACGCAGCGAAAGCUGUGCUAAUACCGCAUACGAUCUAUGGAUGAAAGCGGGGGACUCGCAAGGGCCUCGCGCGAUUGGAGCGGCCGAUAUCAGAUUAGCUAGUUGGUGGGGUAAAAGCCCACCAAGGCGACGAUCUGUAGCUGGUCUGAGAGGACGACCAGCCACACUGGAACUGAGACACGGUCCAGACUCCUACGGGAGGCAGCAGUGGGGAAUUUUGGACAAUGGGCGAAAGCCUGAUCCAGCAAUGCCGCGUGCAGGACGAAGGCC
rnacentral:rRNA from 1 species